rnacentral:rRNA from 1 species
GACAGAGGGUGCAAGCGUUGUUCGGAAUUACUGGGCGUAAAGUGUGCGCAGGCGGCAGAGCAAGUCGAGUGUGAAAGCCCCGGGCUUAACUUGGGAAUUGCGCUCGAAACUACUUUGCUGGAGUGUGGCAGAGGAAGGUGGAAUUCCACGUGUAGCGGUGAAAUGCGUAGAGAUGUGGAGGAACACCAAUGGCGAAGGCAGCCUUCUGGGCCAACACUGACGCUCAUGCACGAAAGCGUGGGGAGCAAACAGG